GAUGAAGAACGUAGCGAAAUGCGAUAAGUAAUGUGAAUUGCAGAAUUCAGUGAAUCAUCGAAUCUUUGAACGCAUCUCGCGCUCCUUGGUAUUCCUUGGAGCAUGCCUGUUUGAGUAUCAUGAGCAAAUCUCAAAGUCAAUUCCUUUUGUUGAUUCAAUUGGUUUUGCUUUGGACUUGGAGGCCUUGCAGAUUUCACAGUCUGCUCCUCUUAAAUGCAUUAGCUGGAUCUCAGUAAUUAUGCUUGGUUCCACUCGGCGUGAUAAGUAUCACUCGCUGAGGACACUGUUAAAAAGGUGGCCAGGAAAAUACUGAUUGAACCGCUUCUAACGGUCUAUUAAGUUAGACAAUUACCCUUAAGUUUGAUCUCAAAUCAGGUAGGACUACCCGCUGAACUUAAGCAUAUCAAUAAGCGGAGGA
rnacentral:misc_RNA from 1 species